CCCGGCAGCUAGCUCUCUGCAACUCUCACAUGGUCACCCACUGAAGCUAGGGCUGUGCCCGGUCAGUACCUGGAUGGGAGACCACAUGGGAAAGCUUGGUUGCUGCCGGAA
rnacentral:rRNA from 1 species